UACGAAGGGGGCUAGCGUUGUUCGGAAUUACUGGGCGUAAAGCGCACGUAGGCGGGUGGUUAAGUCAGGGGUGAAAUCCCGGAGCUCAACUCCGGAACUGCCUUUGAUACUGGCCAUCUAGAGAUCGGAAGAGGUGAGUGGAAUUCCCCAGUGUAGAGGUGAAAUUCGUAGAUAUUGGGAAGAACACCAGUGGCGAAGGCGGCUCACUGGUCCGAUACUGACGCUGAGGUGCGAAAGCGUGGGGAGCAAACAGG
rnacentral:rRNA from 1 species